rnacentral:lncRNA from 1 species
ACAAUUCUUAUUGAAGGAUCUUAUUUCAAAGUGACUAUACAUAUUGUUCUAAUAUAUCGAGCCAGUGAGUGGCAGUCACAAAAAAUGAUAAUAAGAUGUGCCAUAGAAUGGAGCCGUACAGGUACGAAUUUGGGGUGGACCUAAAUACAGAAAUAUUUAAGGUCCAAAUCUAUAAUUUGGCAGCAGGCAUGUGAUAGAAGGUGGCACGAGCUGUGUAAAUCAAGUCCCCAGUUUUCUUGAGCUUGAACUCUAGCGCUAUAACACUCAGAUUUCUUCCACUUCGCACAACACAUGCAUCAACUAUCACCUCUGCCUGUAAGUCCCAUUGCAAAGUGAAAAAAAAGAAAUGAAUAAUGUGAACCAUGCAAAUUAUAUACAAUCAAGAGUGUAAACUAUGUAAUACUCGAAAUCAUUCGGAUUAAAACAAUGGGAAAAGUAUAAAUAUUUCUCUUCUGAUGUCAUGGUCGAUGCCGAGUUGCCAUUUAGCUUAUCCCACCUUAUUAUGAAACUUCAGUCCGGACACUACAUGAAAAUUUCCUAACCGAUAUUUAAUGACAAAUUGAAUAUCUGUUUAAUUUCUGGACAUAUUUGUCAAAGUCUGAAAGCAUUGUAACAAAGACGCAAGGGCCAAUAUUGUGUAAAAACGAGCUUUUGAAGUUCAAAACUACUACCAUCCUAAUUCACUCGAGGAUAAUAAGGCUUCAAAUAUACUGCAACGUUCAGAAACUUAGCUCAGCCUGUACGUUACAUAUUUUGGCCAAUUUCAGUUUGUAUCAAAUUCUGUGGUAAAGCAAUUCCAUACUGGCAUCUUAAGACAAUGGUUUCAAAGAAAAGCGAGCAAUCUCUUUUUUGAUUAGUAAUAAAGUUUAUUAACAAAAAGAGGAAACGACCCAAGUACAUGAAGUAUACAUCUUGUGUGCAAGAGGCAAGAAAAGCAGACCUUUGCGCACAGAGAGGUACAAAUCCCUCAUAAGUGCCAUCACCUACAAUGGAAGGUACAAUCACAGUCCACAAAUUACAAAUUUUAAGUGCCAACAAAAUCCUAAAUCCUGAGUUUUUUCUUCAGUCAUUCAAUAUUGUUCAAAAUGCCUUAGAAUACCAUUCAAUGUCCAAAGAAGGCAGCUAAACAAUCUUUAGUACAGUUUAUGGGGAUUGAUAUCAUUUCAUUCAAUAUCUUUGUUUCCAUUUGCAUCAAACUUGAUAAAACAACAGUUAAAGGAGACAAGUCUAAUUCUGAAGGACUCACAUUCUUUUUUGCGCUGGCGAGGUAAGAGAUGCUUAGUUCCUCUAGAAAAAUCUCCUUAUCCUUAGCCACGACUGUUCUAGCACAAGCUAUGGACACAGCCUCAGCAACAGCAGCAACAGCUCCCCCAUGAAAUCCUGCAAAGAAAUUCUGCAGAUUCAUGAACAAAACAUCAUUACAUUUGUUAGAUUUCCAAGACAAUGAACAAAAACAAAAAGAAAAUUAACCUGAAGUUCACCAGCCUUUUCUUUUGUCAGAAAUAAAAGAACAAUUAGAACAUAGGUCAAUUCACAUACAAGUUGAACAUCAGUGAGCAAAUGGGUGGGAAUUUGUUAACAAAGUUCAUAACUUUUUGAAAUUGGAUCUAAAAAAGCAUCUUGCUUUGCGUUGCAUAAGAUGAAAGUCUCAACCAGACAAACUAAUACAAUGGGCCUAAGCCAAUUAUAAAUUUUGGAUUGGUUAUAUAAAACCCUCUCAAAUCAAGCAACUUUCUCAGCAACCAAGCUGCAACUCCAAAUCAGAUUUCUUCAAUUUUAAUAAGAUCUAUCAACAGUAGGCAAAGACUUCUUCAUGUGAAAUAUAUGGCAACUCAACCCUUUUUCUAAAACUAGAGGCCACCUUAGGCAAAAAGGAAGAGGAAAUUCAUUUCACCUUCAAUAAGAUUUGACUGAACUACUCUAGUAGAAGAAAAUGCUGAAUCAUAUAAGUUCAGAUAUUAGAAUUAUCAUUUUUCAGACCUUGCAUGUUAAAUCUCUCUUCUUGCUUAGAUUGUUGCAUCUUUAUGAUAACAUCUUAACAGGAUUCCACAGAAAAAAAAGAAAAAAAAAAAGAAAGAAAGCAUGAAGCUCAAUUUCAACCUCUACUGUUUCAAUGGAACAAAAUAUACCACAUUCAAAUACCUGCUCAAUGUUAUAUCCAGGGCUUGGAUCGUUAAGUUAAAUGACUAAUCAAUUUUUUGUAUGAAUGACAUGUUUGAAGGGAGACCUAGAAAAUAGAUAUAACAUUUCUAACAAACUUUUCAAUCAUUCCAUCAACCAAACCACAUUUCAAUCAAUUACAGUAUUCAAUCCAAUCUAAUUUCAAACCGUCUUGCAGUUUCUUUCAUAACUCCAUAAACAAAAUGAUUGUAGACGCGGUUUACCAAAUUAAUGAGUUCCUGUACAAAUUACAUGUGCAUACCAACUUAUCAGCUAAACCAAAUAACACAAACCACCUAUUUGAAUAGCCAUUUACAAUUAGAACAAAGAACCACAGAACUCCUUCAAAUAAGGCCACAGUUACAAGUCGCUACCAUAAGUUAUUCAAAUAAUCAAACCCAGUUUGCAACACACUCAAAGAAACAAUCCCAGUUACAAAAAUCAAUUGAUCCAAUAACCAAUAAAGACGAUGAAACAAAUCAAUUACCGUGGGCAGUCAACAGAUGGGCCCAAGGGGCAACCAGGAGGCUUGCCCUGCUUCUUCAAAGUUGCAGGGACAAUCUCAGAUGGAAGGUUGAGGUAGUUCCUCAAAAACUCAAUACCAUCAUUGGUCAGGUACCAGUAGUAGUGCAUCCAAGCGAAAGUUUCUCUCAAAUACUCCUUGGAUUUGAAGCUCUGCAUCAGCUUAAUCACCUGCAGAUUUGGCACAUUGAUUUCUGGGUGCUUUGCCAAGUUAUCGUCCUUCUUUGCAUAGCAAACUCCCUCUGUUAAAAUUAAUUUCAAUAAAUUUUAACAAAAAAAUGGAAAUGAAUAACCAAAUUUCCCUGCACCCUUCUGGGACUUGACAAGUCGCGUGGCUCGGUCAAUGCAGACAAUGAGAUUACCUGUAACCUUAGGAUCCAGAGUACCACGGUGGCCAGUUUUCCCUAUCGAAGGAUGCGUGUAAUCCAAGCGACAACCUCGCGCAAAGAGGGGUUGGUGGGAUUUUCAAGAUUGAGAACACCAUAUCGGUUGUACUCGGCGAGCGGGCGCUUAAGGGACGAAUAGCCGGAGGGAAGAGGGGUGUAGUGUCCAGUUCAAACAUUGAGGCGGUCAUAGUUUUUGAGAAGGAUAGGCCACUAAGAGGUGUCCAUGGAGGGAGUCGAGCUCUGGGGCUUAAUGAAGUCUUUGUCCAAAUCAUUGUCUGUAUCUCUAUGCUUUUUCUUCUUCUUCUUUAUAUCUGCGCCUUUCGCCACAGCCUUUACUGGGGUUCGAUCAUCAUCAGAAGCCAUUUCCUGCACAUUAGACAGAACAAAAAUGAAAAAAAAUAAAUAAAUAAAAAACUAGAACAGCAGGUAAAACCUAACAUCAAAUACAAAUUUUAUUCUGGGCAAAUUGAAGAGCAAAUAAUCGCUCUGAUUUUUCCAUUGUCAAACAAAACAAAAAAAAGCUUCAUUAAUUAUUACCCAUAACAGAGGUAUAUUAUAUGCUUGGGGAUAGUGGCUUUCCUAAACAAAGCAUUAUCAUUAAGUUCCCAGACCAGAGAUUAACACAAAAUAGCAGGGGUUUUACAAAUAAACUAGUGUCAGGUGCAGUGACAUGUUAGGAACCCUUAUCAGCUUCUAAAGACAAAAGAAGAGACUUUCACAUAAAAAUCACUUAGAGUAUUCAUAACAGAAAAACCCAAAAGAGGGCAAGUAGAAAAUCAAUACCUUUUACUUAAAAGCACCUAAUUGGAAUGGUUCGGCGGCGGCAGAGAUGGAGAGCCAGAUGUGCGGUGGCGUCGAGGAAGAGAAGAAAUAUGUUGCCUGCCGGGUAGGGGUUUUAAGAAGAGAUGAGAAGAGAAGAAAUAUGUGGCCUAAGAUCGAUACUUGCACUAGUUUUUUCAAUUGGAAGCUUCUAGAAAUAAUAACCUACCUGUUCCAUAACAAGCUUGACGUACGGACUCACUUACGACAUUCAUGAGUCUGUCAUCUUCGACUCCAUUUGAACAGGAACGUCACCAAUAUCAGUUAGCAUCCGCGGAGUGUCAUUUAGUUAUUUCCCUGCAUUGCCAGAAUCAUGUUACAAUGACUUCAUGCACCAUUUACAUGAAAUUUUAGACAAAUGAAAUGAAAAAUCAUUAUCAUCAACAACAAGCAUUAGAUAUAAUUGUUUGGCUUAAAGUCUUAAUCAUGGCUGCAUAAAUGUUAAAAACAAAAUCGAAGAGCCAGCGCUCAUAUGUGGUUAGCUAUUUGCUUAUGUUAACUUGUUAGGUAUAUCACAAGUAAACUGAAUUAGUAGAGAUAAAUAUAAACACAAUGUAGAAUAGAAACCAUGAUAUGAAACAGGAAUGGACCCUUGCCUCCAAUAGGGUUUUCUCAGUAUGUAAUCCCUAUUAGAUUGGAAGUGAAAUGCCUUAAAAAGUAAAGAAACUAGUUUGAAUCCCAAUAUUCUUACACUAAAGAACCCUGAAUGGCAGAACAUUUCAAGAACACCAAGCCUGCAAACCCAGCUUCAAACCUCUCGAGAAUACAGAAAUAUCUGAAGAAUGCCUCAACGUUACAAAUCCCAGAUUCAAAUUCGAGACAUCCUAUCUUUGAAUCCCUGGUUCAAAAAUAAAAAAUUGGACCCAAAAAUAGAAGAUAAAUUGAAGGGAAGCACCUUGUGGGUAUAAGAAGAGUGACCAGAAUUAGGGGACAUGUUCCUGAAAGUUUUUUUUUUGGGGGUGGGGUUCUGAAUGUUCCUGAAACUUUUGAUACAAUACUUGAGGAAAGUCGAUUUUGUCCUUUUCCUUUCUGCUGAGUUUGCCAAUAAAUAAAUGGGCCUUUGUUGCGGUUGCCUCUAAAUAUUGAUGGGUCAUUUGGGCUUGUUUAAAUGGAAUGAAAUUGUGCCUUUAGGAAACACUCACUUUGUAUAAUUCUUCAAAAACAAAAACAAAACAAAAACAUUCACUUUGGUGACAAUACCAAGAAACAAAUAAAUCAUUCGACCACGAGAAAAAAAAAACUAAGAAUAAACGGUUGCCCAGGAAAAACAAAACACCCUUGACUUUCAUUACAUAAAUAUAGGGCAAUAGAAAAUUGCCCAGGAAAUACAUUAACAAUAAACGGUCUAUCUUAUUUUUCUUCUCUAUUUUUUUUUUUUUGGUGAACUGGUGGGAAAACCCCAAACAAACAAAACAAACUAACUAAAACAAAUCAAGCGGGCCUUAACAAAUCAUCCACCAAAGAAGUCACAACCCAACUUGGAGCCUCAUGAAAAACACAGAUACCAAGAUCUAAGUUAUAACUCCAAGCAGCCAAUCGAUCUGCAACACUGUUUUUCUCCCUAAAAAUAUGAUGGAGGAUGCAAUUCUCAAGCUGCUGCAUUAACUGCCAACAACUAGAGACCAAAGAUGCAAGAGGGUGCAAAGUAAGAGAAUCAUGCUGCUGCUGUUCUCUAUUAUUUUAAUAUAUAGCGGGACCCACGCUUUUUGCUUAGAGUGGUAAUAGUGUUGUUGGCCUCCCCACGCGGCAAUCUUGGCGGCGGCGAAACAGAGAAGGGAGUUGAGGCACAAGAGCCACCAGUUUGGGGGCAAAAACCAGCAGGGUGAGCAGCAAGAAGCACAAAAGGAGAGGCAGCCAGGGCCAGGAGGAGGGUGGGGACAAGAGAAGGCUCAAGAGUGAAGCGAGUGAGAGUGAGCCAGACGCAAUGGACCAUUUGCGAGGGCUCAGUACGUCAGCAUGGGGAGUGUCCCUGAGGAGCAGCUCGAGGCUGAAGGCCAAGGAAUAGGUAAUGACACUAGACAGCAUAAGCAGCAUGAGUAUAGGGUUGGUGUGGAAGAGAGGUUGGUCUGGAAAUCUCACCUGAACCAGCGUCAUGGCUGUGGGAAUGGUGAAGCCAAAAAUGCGAUGGUGGAUCAUAGGGUUGGUUUGUUGUGCUGGAAAGUAGUUGAUCAACAACUGUUGACGAUUCACGAACUGAAAAUUAAUCAUCCUCACAUAAGAAAACUAAUUCCUUGCCAUGUUUGGCUUGGAAUGGGGCGGAUAAAUUUUUCUUUGGGUGGGUGUGGCAAGAUUCAAAGCUUAGGGCGCUAUUUAACAUUACCAUGGCUCCAAGUUGCGAACACCGAUGGGACAUGUCCCAAUGACCUGGCACGGUGAUGACAUGGCACCCACGUAGGAUUUCUGGAAUGCUUUCGGGUUUUUCUUCUUGGUCAAGCGCCAUUGCGCCAAUGCUUUUCGGUUUUUCUUUUUGGGCAAGCCAAUGCUUUCCGGUUUUCUUUUUGGUCAAGUGCCAUUGUGCCAAUGCUUUGUUGUUUUUAACUUUUCUCCGUGAUCAAUAGGCACCGGGUGGGGUGGGGCCGUGGACCAACAAUUCCGCGAAAGUGCCAAAAAUUUCCUUCGGUACAAAAUUACGAUUUCCUACUAUCGGCAACUACAAAACUAAUUCCUACCCUUACUUGUUAACACAUGUCGGCCCAAAAUUACACGUGAAUGAAUCCCAGCCAUUCAAAUUAUCUGAACGGCUGAAGAGAAAAAACAAACUUACAGUACAAACGGGUAUGCUGCACUUCCCCUUAACCCCUGCGUCCUGGUGCGUGUUCUCAAUCCUACCUUUCUUUCCAGAGUUUUUCUGUUUAAACCGCGCACUUCUCUUUGUUCACUCCAUAUUCUAAAUUCAUCCCAACUUCUAAUUCAAAUUUUCAUAAUUUCUUAGAAAACCCUACUAUCUUCCUAAAUUACCCUUAAAUAUACACAUAACAGAAAAUAAAUAAAUAAAUAACUCAUCAACCUCACACUCCACACCCCACACCCCACACCCACCUCAAUAUCACAUUACUUAAAGGGAUAAAAACACUGUUGUCAAAUAUGUAGCAGCAUUACUUUAUUAUUAUUUUUUUCCCAGAUAAAAACACCUUUAACACUACAACUCUCUCUGCAUUUGUAGAGCUGCACUGGAUACAGAUGAGAGUUGGGGAAGAGGAGCCAACUUUGCUACCAGAUGCAAGAUGGUCCCCCUGGAUUCCAGUAGUGUAGAAGCAAUUAAUUUACCACACACAAUGCAGAAAAGAUUUUCAUGCCAAAAUUCAAUAGCAAAAGGGAGUAAUAAAUAUUGGUCUUUGCUGAGGCUAAACCAUAUUAGAUCAGGAAAAUAUUCUACGAGUGUUCUUAUAAUUUCGAUUAUCCCGUUAUUAGUGGCUAUCUUGUGGAUAAAUCAAUAUGUAGGCAAUUCAUCUAUACAUUUUAGCUUGUAGUCAAAUUUUGAUGUUUUUACUAGUAAUUGGGUUCUCAAAAAAGUGAAAAUUCCAUUAUGAAAUGGGCAUUUAGAAUUGUUCAGAUGAUUGUUGUGAGUUUAUUCAGUCUUUGAUUCUUAGAUGGUAUGUUGGUGUUGCACAAAGAUACGAAGAUCUAUUUUCAGCUGUGGUUUUAGGCGUUGUUUAAACGGAUUGUGCUAUUGUUUGGACCUUUGGACUUUCACUGUUUUGUUUAACACAAAUGUAAGCAUUGAAUCUAUAAUAAAUAAUUAGAUGCAAGGAAAGUGCCCUGAACCCAAAUUCGUAUACUAGAAAAUUUACGGAUGUCCCGAACUAAAGCAUUACUACAUAUACUCUUUCCAUUGAAAGAUUCCUCAAAUAAUUUUAUUUAAGGGACGACCUUUAGGGUACCUUAUAAAUUUUUUUUCAAUGAUCCAAACCAUCUAUUUUUUAAGUCUACAUUCAUAUAUCAUCCUCACAAAAAAUUAGACAAAUUGAAAACCGUUUGGACAUCCAAUUGUAUCCCACAAAAUCAAUGAAGACGGUGCUUCAAGAAAGUACUAAAAUUUCAAUAACACAAUUGAGUGGUCAUAUGAUAUCGGAUUCAGGUGAUUUUUUGUAAUGAUUAUCUAAAAUAUAGACGGUUUUGAUUAGUGAAAUACAAUGUGGAGUGGGCAUGACAAAGGUGUCCCUUAAAUAAGUUAAUUUGAGGAAUCUCUCAAUAAAAGCUAUAUAUAUACACACUAUUGACUUCUUAUAUAGAGUGACUGUAAAUAAUGCUGCCAUUACAUUUGACCAUAACUUAAGCACACUGGUGGUGGGUGAAGGGGGGUUUUUGUUGUUGGGUAGGAAGGGGUUUUAACUUCCCGGAAGUUACGUCAUUCAGCUGCAUGAAGAGCUGUAACGAGUGACAAACAAAAACGUACUAUGAACAAUUCAAGCAGACGCAAAGAAUGCCAAUAUAUUCACAAAUCAAAUUAAUAAAACAAAGCUGCGAUAUGUUUAUAAUAUAUAGGCAUAUAAAGAUGCCCUAAAUAAGAAAAAGACCUAACUACCCUUAUAAGACUUGACUCAAAUAUAUUUUAGAUAUAUACCCUUUUUUUUAAUUAAAAAACAUUCAUAUUUAACACUAGCCUCUCUGCACGCGCUUUCACGCUUGCGAAAGGCAUUUUUUUUUUUGUCCGCUUUGAGCCCCCUUCUCUGUCCUCACAGUUUUGUUUCUGGGAACUCAUGAGCAACUUUCUAGUGGGUCACCCAUCCUAGGAUUGCUCUAGCCCCAACUUGCUUAACUUCGGAGUUCCCAUGACUCCGAAGCUAGUGAGCUCCCAAAAGGACUCGUGCUAGAUGGAGGCGGGCAUGUACAUAUAAGGCACAUCACCCCCUCUCUGUUGGUUGAUGUGGGAUGUUACAUUUACCAUAUUAUCCUCAUUUAAUUAAUAAUUUUAAUGCUUAAUGUUUAGAUUAACCAAUGGCAUUUUCUGAUAUUUUGAAUGUUUCACCAUUCUCUGCCUUUUGCUUUAUAUAUAUAGAUUCAGGGUCGUUGGCUAUUGACCCCACCCUUACUUGUUAACCCAUGGCGACGUGCAAAAUUACUAUUCUGCCACUCAAUUAAAAUGAAGAGGAGUUUAGCAACUACACACCAUAUAUAUUUUAUUUUUUUGGUCAUAGCAGCAACAUACCUUUAGUUGCUGCAAAUUACAAAACAGGACAAAAGGUAAUUUACAUCAACAUCCUGUAGUUGCUACAAAUUACAAAGACGACAAAAAGACAAAAUUUGUAGCACCAUCAGCUAAUUUGCAGAAACAUCCUUGUAGUUGCUACAAAUGACAAAAUUCUCUUGUCAUAUCUUUUAUGCUUUUUUUUGCACUCAUCUUUUAUGCUUAACUCCAAAAGAUCAAUAGUGCGACGUGCAGUUCAAGCCAUAUUCAAGGACUUUUGGGACUCUAAAAAUGGUGGAUAGAGACCAUUUAGAGCUUUAAUGAAAUAUUCCAAGGCCUUUCACCAAAAAAAAAAAAAAAAAAAAGGAAAUAUUCCAAGGCCUUUCACCAAAAGGAGGGCUUUACACUGGGAGGGCUCUAUUUAUAAUGUAAUUUGGUUUAUGUGAAAUUUUUUUUUUCAUUGUGUUGUGUUAUUUUUUUUUUUUUUUUCAGAACAUUUCAACCAAAAUUUUUUUAAAAAAUUUGGACUAAACUUUGAAAACUACAUUUUCUUUGUUAAUGUAUGUAAUGUUUUUUUUUCUUUCUAAUAUAUUAGGAGCAGCUUCCUCCUCAUACGGCACACUAAACUUGUCUUUAUCAGCCAGCUUUAAAAUUGAAUCUCUCAUGCAAAUUUGUUUCAUGGGUUGAUACUCUAAGGGGUUGUUUGUUACACAAACUUUACUUAGAUUAGUUGGACUAAAUUUAAUUUCAUGUUUGUUUCAUCUAAUUAUAGUCUUAAAUGAGAUUGCUAAUACUAGGACUACCAAAAAUACAUCCUUAGGAGGGAACUAAUAAACCCAUGUGGAAUAGGAGGAUUAACUAGUUUCAUGCUCACCAAUAUAUAAGAUGUAUAUAUAUUAUAUUAUAAUAUACAUAUAUACACAUAAUAUAUGAAGUACCGUGUUCAUUGAUUUUGUAGGACACAAUUGAAUGUCGAAAUGGUUUCCAAUUUGUCUAAUUUUGUGUGAAGAUGAUCUAUGAAUGAAGACCUAAAAAUAGAUGGUUUGGAUCAUUGGAAAAAAAAAAAUUUAUGGUACCCUAAAGGGCAUCUCUCAAAUAAUUUGAGGGAUCUCUCAAUAGAAGGAGACUUUGUAUAUAUAUAUAUAUAUAUAUAUAUAUGUACACAAACACGUAUAUUAAUAUUAUAACAUAUCCAUAUAUUAUAUAUAUACAUAUAUAAAUAAAUGUACACAAACACGUAUAGUAAUAUUAUAACAUAUCCAUAUAUUAUAUAUUAUAAUAUACCCAUAUAUACACUAUAUAUUAUAUACAUAUAUAUAUUAUAUGUAUAUAAUAUAUGUAUAUUUAUUUAUUUAAUAUAUUAUAAUAUACAUAUAUACAUAUUUAUUAUAUAUUUAUAUAAUGUCUAUAACAUAUGUAUAUAUCUGUGUAUAUAUAUAUUAUGUAUAAUAUUUAUACUUUGAAAAAUAAAAAAAUAUAGUCAUAGUCUAAGCAUACACACCAAAUGCAAGAUAAACUUAGACCAAGUCAAGACAGUCUCUAAGUAUAGUCCAUGUUAAACAGUCGUGUGUAAGUGUAACAAAUGAGAUAUUGAACGUUAAAAACAAUGACCUUUUGACAGCAAUUUUUAAAAGUAGCCUCUAUGUUACUUUUCAAAGUUACUUUCAAAAGAAUUAGAAAUGAGUCUUUAAUGAAUUUUUUAAAUUUCCAUAAUACCAUGAUUAAUUUUUAAAAUUAUAUCGUCUGCCACCACCAUUAUCACCUCCACCUUCAUCACCGCUGCCAUCACCAUCAUCACCUCCACCACCAUCAACUCCACCUCCAUCUCCAUCCCCACCUCCACAACCACCCCCACCACCUCCUCCUCCUCCAUCUCCAUCUCUAUCUCCACAUUUAUCAUCACCACCACCACCACAUGAUUAGUGUACAUAACAUUUUUAAUAUUAUGUAUAUUUUAGUUAUUAUUCACAGUGACAACAAUUUUAUAUUAAAAUUUACCAAACAAUUUUGACACAAUUUUUUAUAAUAACAACAUUUGGUUAUCAAAUAUGGGACUGCUUUACUUUACAACUAAUUAUUUUUAAAAUACAGCAGAAGCUACUUUUUAAAAAAGUGACAGUAAUUCCAAACUAACUAGCCAUUAACACGCUCUGCUUUGGUCGAACCAAUUUGGAGGCCUUUUUCCCACUAGUUUUGGCACCCAGGUCUUUUACUUUUACUUGUACACCAAGGCUCGGAAGUUUUGGCACAGAAAAAAGCCUCGGAAAUUGGACAGCAACUUCGGCUUUGGUUUCACACUGUACAAAAAUGCCGGGAGCUGCACGAGUUGACCGGAGAAGCAUUGUCCACAAGUUGAGUUGGUUUUUUUUGGUUUUUUGUUUUGGGGUAGAAUUCACUGAUGGUGAUGGCUCGUAAUGUGCUAGUUGGAUUACAAGUCACAAGUGAGUAUUUCAAACGGGUCAGAAAUAAAAACGGGUGGGUAUUUCAAACGGGUAUAAUUUGAGUCUAUUUAAUUUGUUAAAGAUUUUGAGUUGUUGGAUUUAUCCUACGGCUGAGGUGAAGUUGGUCUUUACAGGUCCUCAUCUUUGGUCUUUCGGUGAACGAUACUAUUUAAAAAGAGAGUAAUGUUAUUUAGACACACAACAUUGACCACCUUAACUGACCACCUUAUGUGGCAACUGAUGUGUUAUGCCAUGUCAAUUAAUGAAUGUCGCCAUGUCAAUUAAAAAACAAAUUAAAAAACCCUAGCAUUCCUAGUGAGUGGCCUCAUGGUAGCAUUCAUUAAUUGACAUGACAUGACACAUCAGUUGCCACAUAAGGUGGUCAGUUAAGGUGAUCAAUAUUGUGUGUCCAAAUAGCAUUACUCUUAAAAAGAAUACCAAACAUGCUGUAACUUCGUUUAUGGUGAACUGAGAGUUGAAUACGACGUCGUCGUCUAAGGCGCCAAGCCAACACAUAAGAUGACCCGCUGCACCUUUCCGCAUUAUCUCAUAUCUGAAAAGGAAUGGCUUCGCCUUUGCCUUCGUCUCUCCAUCGGCUCUCACUCCUCUUCAAACCUUCAUCACCUCAAAACCACCGCCUCCUUGUAACCCCGACCCGAACUUUCUCGGUUCGAAUGCCGGGCGGGCCAGACCGGGUUCUUCACCCGGCUCGGAAGGCUUAUCAAGGAGAAGGCCAAGAGCGACGUAGGGAAGCUCUUCUCGGGAUUCUCCAAGACUCGCGAUAAUCUCGCUGUCAUCGACGAGCUCUUGCUCUACUGGAAUCUCGCUGACACUGAUCGAGUCCUCGACGAACUCGAAGAGGUUUUUCUUCUCUCCUUGUUUGUUUCUCGAGAAAAAAGAAAUGCUUUCGUGGAAAAUCUGAUUAUUUCUGUUGUUUUCGGUUUCAGGCUCUGCUGGUAUCGGAUUUUGGUCCAAAAAUCACAACUAAGAUUGUGGAAAGUUUGAGGGAGGACACAGUUGCUGGGAAGCUGAAAUCUGGAAGCGAAAUAAAGGUAAUGUUAACAAUUGAAAAGCCUUUUAUGUUCAUAGCAACAUUGGCAGCAUUUGAACCUUAGUUUUUUUUAUUUAAAUUUUUAUGAUUUUAGGCUCCAAAAAUUACCCAACUUUGCCCCAUAUUACAUAAUUAGGUAAAUAAAACAAACUUGAGUGGAGGGUCCUGAAUUUUCUGAUCAAUAAAAUUGAGUGCUCGUUAGUUGAUUAUGAAAUUUAAUGUGGCGCUAUCUGAAUUGGGUUGUUUGUAGGAAGCAUUGAAGAAGAGUGUGCUGGACUUGUUAACUACAAAAGGGAGCAAAACUGAACUUCAACUUGGAUACAGGUACUGCUCUUUUCCGAGUUUUAGAAUUUUUGUCAAUUUCUUUUUGAUAUUAUGUUCAAUGUUGGAAUUUUUGUUGUGUUAUCAGGAAACCAGCUGUGGUUAUGAUUGUUGGCGUUAAUGGAGGUGGGAAGACAACAUCUCUUGUUAAGAGACCUUUUGAUAUCCAACCCAUUUAAUCUGACAGCAUGCAUUUUUGGCGGAAGUUUACUGUAAAUGAACUGAACUUCAAGUUUAAGGGAAUUUUAAACAAAAUUCAUAGUGACAUUUCCAUUAUAUAAAUCCAGCAUUACAGUAUUUUUUUUAAAAAUAUACUUUUUAACUAUUGUCAUGCUGUGGUAUAAUGGUUGAGGACCCGUAAAUCUGAUGAUGAUCUGAUAAACUAUCCUAAUGCAGGAAAGCUGGCUUACAGAUUGAAGAAGGAAGGGGCCAAGGUGAGAAUUUGUCUUCUGUUCGUUGUCAGUGCAGCACUGGAUUAUGAGGACUGGUUACAUCCAAGAAAAGUGUAUCUAUUUCAUGGCUUUUCUGGUCUAAAUUGCAUUGUGGUUUGAAAUUGUGCUAGGUAUAGAUGGCAGCAGGGGAUACAUUUCGAGCAGCUGCCUGUGACCAGCUGGAGAUAUGUGCUGAGAGGAUGGGGUGUGAGAUUGUUGUGGCUGAAAAAGAGAAGGCUAAAGCAGCAUCAGGUAGAGAACUUAAUGGAAGAGAUGGAUGAACUCAUAUUUGCUUUCCUUUUCUAGUUUUGUUUUGUCUAUAAGAAUUUAAUUGACAUGGUAUAACUACUGACAUAUAGUCUUAAAGUGCUUUCUGAAUAGUUAUUUCUCAGGCUGUGAAAAGAGGGAAAGAACAAGGUUAUGAUAUUGUCUUAUGUGACACCUCUGGACGUAAGUUUGUUGGAAAACCUUCCAGGCUUAGCUGUUAACAUUGUGAGCUUAGCUGAUUAAUUGCAGUUGGACCUUUUGUUUAUAAUUUUAGGUCUGCACACUAAUUACAGCUUGAUGGAAGAGUUGAUUGCAUGUAAGAAAGCUGUGAGCAAAGUCAUUCCUGGCGCUCCUAAUGUAAGCUGUUGGACACUUUUUGUGAUCUUUCUAUUAUCAAAUUCGACAAUCUAGGCGUGGGAAUGCACACUUCCCCAUUGAACAGAAUAAUUCUGAGUAGACUAUGCUCUCAAGCCAUUUGGUUAGUGGUGAUAUUUGACUGUAUACUUUAUGAAAGGAUCAUAUCUUUAGAGAGUAGAAAGUUGGGAACUUAUGUGCAUGGUACAUCCUACAUGCUUCACUGUUAUCUUCUCAUGUAUCUUCAUUACUUCUGUGCAUUAAAUCUAUACUUCCAUAUUUCAAAUACUCUAUUUUAUGCUAUUUGUGACACAAUGGCACCUGGUUCUUUCAAUUCUUUGAUUUGUAAAUUAGUCUAUUCAUGCCUGCCACUACCAUAUCUUCAUAUGAUCAUUGAAGAUUGCAAAGAGGAGCUUAAAAUCUUUAGGUCUCUCUCUCUUUGAUCAUGAUAGUUGAGAUAUUUAGUAACUCUUCCAAUUUCUUACAUUUUGUCUUGUGAGACCAUGUUUUGUAUGUGUGCCUAAUAUUUUUCUUUUAAAAAUAUGCAGGAGAUCCUACAAGUUCUGGAUGGGACGAUGGGUUUAAACAUGCUUCCGCAAGCAAGAGAAUUCAAUGAGGUAAUAUUCUUAUCCUUCACCUCCUGGAUUAUUCUACUUUUGUCAGAACAUAGAUUAUUGAUUGAUUCUAUUUCUUUGUGCAAUUUGUUUCUCCACAAUAGAUUUGUUAAGUGUGUUGAUUCUUGACAAGUUGACAUUAUAAAUAUUGUGACAGAUUGUUGGGAUAACUGGUUUGAUAUUGACAAAACUUGAUGGCUCUGCUAGAGGUGGCUGCGUGGUAGGUUCAAGUCUUCUGUCCCAUAUCAUUUUCAAUUUAUUCAUGAGUUGAUAUAUUGGCAUAGCUUCUGCUAUUCCAAGACUUAAUUCUCAUAUUGUCUUCUUUUCUUUUCAAAUAAUUCACUAAUCCUAAGAUUGUAUCUUAUUUUAUUUUAGGUCAGUGUGGUAAAUGAACUUGGCAUCCCUGUAAAGUUUGUGGGUGUUGGUGAAGGUGUAGAAGACCUCCAACCCUUUGAUGCGGAGGCCUUUGUUAAUGCCAUAUUUUCUUAACCCUGAAGGAUGGUGAGUGUCACAUCAAUUGACUAUGUUAUUCUGAUCCCAGAUGUUAGGGAUUUUUAUCAGAUGCUUUUCUCUCCCUGUAGAGAAUUACAUAAUCCCCUAAGUCUCUGUGUGCUGGCUGCGGGUCCUUGUCCAGCCGUAUAAGCAACUAUUUAAUUUGAUUGGGGAAAAUGAGGUCAGGAUGAAACCUCACACGUCGAACCACACAUUUAGUCUUCAGAUGAUCAGGAUAUUACUUGCAUACUGCUCAUAUGGCAAUUUUACUUUCCGGUAUCAUAUUGCUGCUGUUAGAUGAAACUCGACUAGAAUUGAUGCAAAGUUGUGAAGCCUUGAGCUGCACGGCGGUUGCUGCUGUAUAGGAUUGAAGCGUGGUUCUAACCCUUCACACGGCACUGAUAGAGAGACAAUUUCAACUCCAAUUGAUUAAUUGAACGGAUUCUUCUUGUCCUUGUAAUUUUUUUUUAAGGGAAAAACUUAUCGAAGUCUCCAAUGCAUGCAUUUGAGUGUAAUAUCCCUGCAUCUUUGCUUCUCUCCAAUGGUUUGAUUGAGUGUAAGUUAUUUCGCUGGCAACAAGUUUAGGGGUUCUACUUGGGUACCUCAUUUCCUAUAUUCUGUCAUAAUUGUGUUAUAGAAAAGUUCUUAAUCUCCAGAUUCAUACUUUGGCAACGGGCAUGUGAUAGAAGGUUAGCACAAGCAGUGUAAGCCAACUUCCUAGUUUUCGUGAGUUUGAACUUGAACCAUCAACUGUCACCCCUGCCUAUAAGCGAGUUUUGUUGCAAAGACGAGAAAAAUAAAAUAAAUAGAUAAAUAAUGUGGCUAAUGUAAUGUAAACUACGUACAAUAAACUUUGUAAACCAUGCAGUAACAGAAAUCAUUCAGAAUUUACGACCCAAACUUUUACGUGCCAACAACAUCCAUCCUCUCAACUCUCUCCGCCCUCCUCCAUCCUUUCUCGAUCUCACUGCCUCAGUCCCGCUCAUAUCCUCUUCCCACUCUCAGAUGAUCAGAUCUCACUGAGCUUUCAUCAAAGGUAAGAAAUCUAUGAUUGAAUUGAUGGCUUGCUCUGCACUAGAAUUAAAAGUGUAUCAACAUUUCUCUCGUCUCAUAGAGAACAAAAUGGAAAUCAUGUCACCACCGACAAGUGUGUGUGAUAUGUCGUUUUCCUUGCUAAAUGCAUGUUUGAGCAAUGAGUUUUAAGUUGCCAGCCACAAUUACUCCUUCCGUAUUUAUUUUCAUUAAAAUUCCAACAUACGUAAUUAAUUUGUUAUGUUAUGCUUUGUUGUCUAGAUGUUAAAAAUGUCAAGGAACUUCUGAUGACGAUGAUGUUGUUAUUGUUAUUGAUUUGAUGGAUGAGGAGAUUUCAAUGGGCAACCGAUCAACAACAAUAUUUUCCAAAACUAGUUGGCAACUAUGAUAAGCGAACUUCAUAUUUGGACUGGGUUACCCUUAUAGUGUUGCCCAGAUGAAACAUAAAUACCAUCUUUUGAGACGAACUUAUAGGAACUAUUGGAGCGGGUUGGAAUCCAACUUUAGGAACUAUUUUCUAAUAAGGUCAUUGAAUAAGGACCUGUUUUUCAGUUGUUAAACCAGAUAUGACGAGAUGAGAUGAGAUGCACAAUUCUUAUUGAAGGAUCUUAUUUCAAAGUGGCUAUACAUAUGGUCAUAAUAUAUCGAGCCAGUGAGUGGCAGUCACAAAAAAUGAUAAUAAGAUGUGCCAUAGAACGGACCCGUACAGGUACGAAUUGGGGGUGGACCUAAAUACAGAAAUAUUUAAGGUCCAAAUCUAUAAUUUGGCAGCAGGCAUGUGAUAGAAGGUGGCACGAGCUGUGUAAAUCAAGUCCCCAGUUUUCUUGAGCUUGAACUCUAGCGCUAUCACACUCAGAUUUCUU